UUAAAUGAGAGUUUGAUCCUGGCUCAGGACGAACGCUGGCGGCGUGCCUAACACAUGCAAGUCGAGCGAAGUUUUCAAAGUAGAUUUCUUCGGAAUGAAACUUUGAUUAUCUUAGCGGCGGACGGGUGAGUAACGCGUGAGAAACCUGCCUUUCACAAAGGGAUAGCCUCGGGAAACUGGGAUUAAUACCUUAUGACACUUAAGAGUCGCAUGACUUUUAAGUCAAAGCGUAAAGCGGUGAAAGAUGGUCUCGCGUCCCAUUAGUUAGUUGGUGAGGUAAUAGCUCACCAAGACUGCGAUGGGUAGCCGGCCUGAGAGGGUGAACGGCCACACUGGAACUGAGACACGGUCCAGACUCCUACGGGAGGCAGCAGUGGGGAAUAUUGCACAAUGGAGGAAACUCUGAUGCAGCGACGCCGCGUGAACGAUGAAGGCUUUCGGGUCGUAAAGUUCUGUCCUUGGGGACGAUAAUGACGGUACCCAAGGAGGAAGCCCCGGCUAACUACGUGCCAGCAGCCGCGGUAAUACGUAGGGGGCAAGCGUUGUCCGGAUUUAUUGGGCGUAAAGGGUGCGUAGGCGGCCAUUUAAGUCAGAUGUGAAAGAUCACGGCUCAACCGUGGUAAGCAUUUGAAACUGAAAGGCUUGAGUUAAGGAGAGGAAAGUGGAAUUCCUAGUGUAGCGGUGAAAUGCGUAGAUAUUAGGAGGAAUACCAGUGGCGAAGGCGACUUUCUGGACUUAUACUGACGCUGAGGCACGAAAGCGUGGGGAGCGAACAGGAUUAGAUACCCUGGUAGUCCACGCCGUAAACGAUGAGUGCUAGGUGUUGGGGGUCAAACCUCGGUGCCGCAGCUAACGCAUUAAGCACUCCGCCUGGGGAGUACGUACGCAAGUAUGAAACUCAAAGGAAUUGACGGGGACCCGCACAAGCAGCGGAGCAUGUGGUUUAAUUCGAAGCAACGCGAAGAACCUUACCAGGGCUUGACAUGCCCCUGACCGUCCUAGAGAUAGG
rnacentral:rRNA from 1 species